GGGCUUGUAGCUCAACUAGGUCAGAGCAUCCGGCUUUUAACCGGUUGGUUGCGGGUUCAAAUCCCGUCAAGCCCA
rfam:Candidatus Parvarchaeum acidophilus ARMAN-5 ARM5contig_4771, whole genome shotgun sequence.